AUGAGUGCUCCUAAUCAGAUCCUGGGUUUGCUGCUGCUCUGGUUGACAGGUGUAAGAUGUGACAUCAAGAUGACUCAGUCUCGUACCUCCCUUUCUGCAUCUCUAGGAGAAAGUGUCACAAUUACAUGUCUGGCAAGUGAGGAAAUCAGCUGGUAUUUAUCGUGGCAUCAGCAGAAACCAGGGAAAUCUCCUAAGCUCCUGAUCUAUAGUGCAGACAUUUUGGAAGAUGGUGUCCCAUCAAGGUUCAGUGGCAGUGGAUUUGGCACACAGUUUACUCUCAAAAUCAGCAGCCUGCAGCCUGAAGAUAUUACAACUUAUUACUGCCAACAGAGUUACAGUGCUCCACCCACAUUGAUUCAAGCCAUGACAUAA